AUUCGUAACAGGUGGCGCAGCCCAGUCCAUUUUACUAGAAGAGCCUCUUUUUCUGGCCUUCUCCUGCGUCGCUUCGACAAGCAAGAUAUCCCCGGAAGAUAAAGAACUUGCCAGAAUGGGAGGAAAACACAAAGAAAGAAGAAACUCGCCAAAUGGGCAGGACCAUGGACAACAGAAUGAACCCUGGAGGACAUUUGUCUCUUCAUGGAGAUGAGCACCUGCCCAUGGGGAAGGGAAGUGAAAGAGGAAGUCACUGUCACUGUGGUGGAACUCAGUCUCCUUGCUAAAGGAGCAAACAGUGAACGAUGUAGUUUCUACAUCCAAGCUGGUGUGUAGGAUGCCGUCCUGCAGCUCCUACUUGCGUGGGGUUCCACGAACCGAGGAUUUGGAAACCUGUAAUGGGUGGCAGAGAAAAGAGACACGACGCCAGGAGAA